UGCGUAGGCGGUUGUGUGUGUCAGAUGUGAAAGCCCAUGGCUCAACCAUGGAACUGCAUUUGAAACUGCAUAACUUGAGUAUCGGAGAGGUAGAUGGAAUUCUAGGUGUAGCGGUGAAAUGCGUAGAUAUCUAGAAGAACACCAGCGGCGAAAGCGAUCUACUGGACGAAUACUGGCGCUGAGGCACGAAAGCCAGGGGAGCGAAGA
rnacentral:rRNA from 1 species